rnacentral:rRNA from 1 species
GACGAACGCUGGCGGCGUGCCUAAUACAUGAAAGUAGAACGCACAGUUUAUACCGUAGCUUGCUACACCAUAAACUGUGAGUUGCGAACGGGUGAGUAACGCGUAGGUAACCUGCCUGGUAGCGGGGGAUAACUAUUGGAAACGAUAGCUAAUACCGCAUAAUAUUGAUUAUUGCAUGAUAAUUGAUUGAAAGAUGCUAUUGCAUCACUACCAGAUGGACCUGCGUUGUAUUAGCUAGUAGGUGAGGUAACGGCUCACCUAGGCGACGAUACAUAGCCGACCUGAGAGGGUGAUCGGCCACACUGGGGCUGAGACACGGCCCAGACUCCUACGGGAGGCAGCAGUAGGGAAUCUUCGGCAAUGGACGAAAGUCUGACCGAGCAACGCCGCGUGAGUGAAGAAGGUUUUCGGAUCGUAAAGCUCUGUUGUAAGAGAAGAACGGGUGUGAGAGUGGAAAGUUCACACUGUGACGGUAUCUUACCAGAAAGGGACGGCUAACUACGUG